AAGGAGGGCUGUAUGGGAGUCCUUCCUCUGUGACCGUGGGGGAGGCAGAUCUCUAAGACCAAAUGUUACAGAGAAGGUGCCAAUUGGCACUGGCUGUGUUUUCUUAUCUGGAAAUUCCCCACAUGAAUGAAAGCAUGGCCCCAAUUCCUAUUCCUAUCACUGUGGGCCAGGCCCCAUGCUAGAACUUCUCUCCUGACGGGGACAUGUGUUUGCGCAUGCGUGUGCACAAAACCAUUAUGAGAUAACUGGGCCGAGACACACUAGCAGGAGGGCCGUGAAGAAAGGCAAGAGUGUAGAAAGACAGGCUUAAAGGAAACUAGGCAGAAGUGAGGAGAGAUCCCUGCAAAAGCGACAGGCUGUUCAAAAUCAUGGAAGAAGAAAAUGGAGAAGAUCAACGGCUAGUUUGGCUGGGCUUUUGUAAGUGCCAAACAGAAGAUUUUCUAGUGGAUGCUAAAGGCAAUAAGAAGCCACUAAAAUGUACUGCAACAGGAGAAUGGGAGGGUCUGUGUUUUAAGAAAAGUAUUCUAGUCGUAUGGAGGAUGGAUUAGAAUGAGGAAAGUCAAGCAAGAGUGUUCUUCACAUAGCAAAUGUUUAAAAAAAAAUCUUUGCUGAAAGACCAAGAAAUUGGUUGGGCAAGGUCUCACAGGACAUGAGAAAGGAAAGAAGAAAGGACCUUCAUGAAUCUCCUGAAAUCUCUCCAUGGACUCCAGAUUAAGAAUCCCUGAUACACAGAAAUGAUACAGCAUGGAAACCUAUGAAACUAGCCUGAGGCAGUGAAUAUAUACAGGGAAUAAUUAUGACAUAUAAACACUUC